rnacentral:rRNA from 1 species
GACGAACGCUGGCGGCGUGCCUAAUACAUGCAAGUUGAGCGAUGAAGAUUGGUGCUUGCACCAAUUUGAAGAGCAGCGAACGGGUGAGUAACGCGUGGGGAAUCUGCCUUUGAGCGGGGGACAACAUUUGGAAACGAAUGCUAAUACCGCAUAACAACUUUAAACAUAAGUUUUAAGUUUGAAAGAUGCAAUUGCAUCACUCAAAGAUGAUCCCGCGUUGUAUUAGCUAGUUGGUGAGGUAAAGGCUCACCAAGGCGAUGAUACAUAGCCGACCUGAGAGGGUGAUCGGCCACAUUGGGACUGAGACACGGCCCAAACUCCUACGGGAGGCAGCAGUAGGGAAUCUUCGGCAAUGGACGAAAGUCUGACCGAGCAGCGCCGCGUGAGUGAAGAAGGUUUUCGGAUCGUAAAACUCUGUUGGUAGAGAAGAACGUUGGUGAGAGUGGAAAGCUCAUCAAGUGACGGUAACUACCCAGAAAGGGACGGCUAACUACGUG